AUGUCCUCAUCAAGUGCUCUUGACGUGGAGGGUUUUCAACCUCAUGUUGCUCUUGUCAUGGAGGAUUUCCAUUGUCUUCAUGCUCUCGAUGAACUUGAUGGUGUUGGCGAGCUUGUGGGGGAGCUUCGCGAGCUCGAGGAGGAACUUGACGAUGCACGCGAGCUUGAAAUCUUUGUUCUUGAAUUUCUUCGUGAAGUGCUUCCUCUUGUUCACGGGCUUGACGUCCUCGGUCGGCAACGGCUCAACUCGAAUCGCGUAGAGCUUGUUGUGCCGCAAGUGCUUGCUCGUCACGAGAUGUUGUUCUUGAUGUUGUGUCUCGUCAUCUUGUGCAUGUUGGUGUAG
rnacentral:rRNA from 1 species